ACAACAUUUGGACCGUCGGUCUACGGAGCAAUAUCAUCCGCUCGGUGAAAAAUCUUCCCUUUUGUCGU
rnacentral:pre_miRNA from 1 species